CUCGCGCCCCGACUUGAGCGGAAAUCCUUUUUUUGGGCGAAAGCCCACAAAAAGAUUGGGAGCGGAAGGCGGAUAAAGGC
rnacentral:sRNA from 1 species